rnacentral:lncRNA from 1 species
AGCUUGAAUUUUGUGUUUCUGUUUCUUUGCAUGGCAGGCAUUGUCAGUGUUCCCUCUGUAUCUUCUGGACAUUCACCAUUCCUGUAAAUGCAAAAGGAUUUUUACUGUAUGCAUCUCUAACUCUCUGCCUAGGAGAUCUCGCUAGAGUAUACAAGAUAGACCUUCCUUCAGCUAUAAACAAUCCAAC